AGUGAACGCUGGCGGUAGGCCUAACACAUGCAAGUCGAACGGCAGCACAGUAAGAGCUUGCUCUUACGGGUGGCGAGUGGCGGACGGGUGAGGAAUACAUCGGAAUCUACUUUUUCGUGGGGGAUAACGUGGGGAAACUUACGCUAAUACCGCAUACGACCUACGGGUGAAAGCAGGGGAUCUUCGGACCUUGCGCGAUUGAAUGAGCCGAUGUCGGAUUAGCUAGUUGGCGGGGUAAAGGCCCACCAAGGCGACGAUCCGUAGCUGGUCUGAGAGGAUGAUCAGCCACACUGGAACUGAGACACGGUCCAGACUCCGACGGGAGGCAGCAGUGGGGAAUAUUGGACAAUGGGCGCAAGCCUGAUCCAGCCAUACCGCGUGGGUGAAGAAGGCCUUCGGGUUGUAAAGCCCUUUUGUUGGGAAAGAAAAGCAGCAGGUUAAUACCCCGCUGUUCUGACGGUACCCAAAGAAUAAGCACCGGCUAACUUCGUG
rnacentral:rRNA from 1 species